UUUUUUUUUUUGUUUUUUGUUUGUUUGUUUGUUUUUAAUACAUGUAGCUGAUUGAGAGUAGACUGGAUAAGCCAGCAUCACUGCAGUGUCUCCCUCAAAGGGAAUAUUUAUAAGAGACACAGACCAGAUAUCAUGGGCAACCACUUGGAUAAUGCAUAGAGUGGAGGUUAAGUGUGUGUGGACUCCUGGCACCACCAUAUCCUAACCAUCUGGCUCUGAACAACUCAUCUAAACUCUCUAAGUCUCAGUUUUAUUUUCUGUUAUAAAAUAAUGAUGUUAAAACCACUUUGCCGGACCCUUCUAAGGUUUAAGUCAGGGAACAGAUGUAAAUGACAUAGUGUUUAUAAAGCACUAAGCCCUGUGCCUGUUGCACUGUAAGUGUUCUAUAAUAAUCAUGAGUUUUUAUUCCUGGAGUGACAGUUCUUUAAAGUUUCCAUGAAAAUUCUAAGACAGGUUUUAGAUUCCUUUAAUCAUUUUAGGGCUGCUCUUCAAUACCUCUCCUAUGGCUCCACUACUCUCUUUAACGCUGAAUCGUAAUCACAAAUACAGUCUGUAAGGGUUAAUAACCACCAAUCUCUGUCUCCCUUCUGUAUGUUAAAGCUAAGAAUAUGCCAAUUCCAACUCUAGAAAUUGAUAUAAAAGAUUACUAAAAUGUAGCCCAUAAGGUUACCACAGCAACCGCUAGAUGUCAUCUUUAGAAUGUCCCUCUGCUUCACAUCUUACUUGAGCAGGAGCUACAAUGUAUAUAUUUUUUUUCACCCAUCUUCUAAAUAAUUGGUUCACAUACAGUUUUAAAAAGUAAUCAUAACUGUUCAUGCAUCAAUAUAACAAGACAUGCAACAGCAGCACUAUUUUAAAAUGCACUGUAAAAAUACAAGACUUCCUCAAUAUUUAAUUUCUAUUUCUUUUAUUUAUGUUAUUAUAUAUAGCCUUUUUCUUUGAAAUUAGUGAAUCUCACUUCAACUUGGUUUGUUUUAGGAAAAAAGAUUAUUUUAUUUUGACAGCUAUUCCUCUCUUAUAACCAGUGUGAUACAUGCCCAAUGUGAAAAACACAAGAAAACCUCACAUUUAAAAAAAAUCUGUAAUUCUACUAUUCAAAUAUAACAGCUGGCAACAUUUUGUAUUUAUCAUUAGUAUUGUGUUAUAUAUUUAUUUGAAUAUUAUAUAUGUGUACAUUUGCAUAUAAUGUUUUCUCUGUAUAGAGAGAUAUGAAAGAUAUAUGUGUGCACAUAGAAAAACAUCUAUAUAUAUAAUGUAUAUACAUAUAUAUUUAUGUAACAAAAUGAUAUUUACAAAUAUUGUCUAUAUCCUGCUUUUGAAUGUAGCCUAUUCUUUUUCUCUUAGUCUUACAUUGUGAAAAUUAUUUCAUGUUAAUAGAGUCUUGUAUGAUGUCAUUUAAACAGUUGCUUGGUAUUUUAUCGUACAUAUAUAUCGUAAUUUAACCAUCCCUUUGCUGUUGAACAUAGUGUUUGUUAGAUUCAGUUUGGCAAUUUGUAAAGAAAAAUUUAAAUGCAGUGCUUAAACUAAAUUGGACUUUAUUUUCUUUCAUGCAAAAUAAGUCUCAAGGCAUGCAUGAGGGUUCCCAUAUGGCCAGUACCCAGGCUCCUUCUGUCUUGCUAUUCUGCAGUCUUUAGGUGUUGCCUCAAGUUCCAAAAUGGUUCAGAUACAACCAUUGCACUCACAAUCCCGUAAACCAAGGGAAAUAGCCAAAGAAUGGAGACUUCUUAGUCAGUGUUCACACACAACACUUCCAAUGGCCAUAAGUUAGCUAUAAGGGAAGGCCAACGUAUGUAAUGCUUUACUAGGUGGCAAUCUUCCCAUCUACAAAUCAGAGUUAUUGCUAAGGAAGAAGAGAUGUGACAAUGGAAGGAAAAAAAAACAGUCUCUGAUACAGCUCUUGAGCUUGUUUCCAAUUUUUUUGCUGCUGUUAAUAAUGCUGUGAUGAAUAUCCUUGCACAUAAACACAUACACACAUCUAAUUUCCUUGGGAUAAAUUCCCAAAAGGGUAAUUGCUCAGUCCAAGGAUAUGCCAGAUUUUAAGAGUUUUAACACCGGGGAUCCCUGGGUGGUG
rnacentral:lncRNA from 1 species